GCUGUUUGAGGGAAAAGAACACCUGGUUGAGGAAAUGCUUCCAGGCUGACGGUACCCUGUCAGAAAGCGAUGGCUAACUAUGUGCCAGCAGCCGCGGUAAUACAUAGGUCGCAAGCGUUAUCCGGAAUUAUUGGGCGUAAAGGGUUCGUAGGCUGUUUAUUAAGUCUGGAGUCAAAUCCCAGGGCUCAACCCUGGCUCGCUUUGGAUACUGGUAAACUAGAGUUAGAUAGAGGUAAGCGGAAUUCCAUGUGAAGCGGUGAAAUGCGUAGAUAUAUGGAAGAACACCAAAGGCGAAGGCAGCUUACUGGGUCUAUACUGACGCUGAGGGACGAAAGCGUGGGGAGCAAACAGGAU
rnacentral:rRNA from 2 species